rnacentral:rRNA from 1 species
UUACGAGGAGAUUCAACGUCAGCGCAUGGCGACUUUCGUGCGGUCGUGAUGUCGCACGUGGCUUGCUACGUGUGGACGCGUCCGCUGCGAAUGUUCGGUCGCGUCGUCGUGCACUUCUCCUCUGGUAGAACGUCGCGACCCGCUGGGUGUCGGUUU